rnacentral:piRNA from 1 species
UGUAAAAUGGGAAGAGGACUGCCAUAACAGU